GACGAACGCUGGCGGCGUGCUUAACACAUGCAAGUCGAACGGAAAGGCCCUGCUUUUGUGGGGUGCUCGAGUGGCGAACGGGUGAGUAACACGUGAGUAACCUGCCCUUGACUUUGGGAUAACUUCAGGAAACUGGGGCUAAUACCGGAUAGGAGCUCCUGCUGCAUGGUGGGGGUUGGAAAGUUUCGGCGGUUGGGGAUGGACUCGCGGCUUAUCAGCUUGUUGGUGGGGUAGUGGCUUACCAAGGCUUUGACGGGUAGCCGGCCUGAGAGGGUGACCGGCCACAUUGGGACUGAGAUACGGCCCAGACUCCUACGGGAGGCAGCAGUGGGGGAUAUUGCACAAUGGGCGGAAGCCUGAUGCAGCAACGCCGCGUGCGGGAGGACGGCCUUCGGGUUGUAAACCGCUUUCGCCUGUGACGAAGCGUGAGUGACGGUAAUGGGUAAAGAAGCACCGGCUAACUACGUG
rnacentral:rRNA from 1 species